UUGAAUGAAGAAUUCCUUAGUAAAGUAUCUAUAUUGGAAUCUCUGGACAAGUGGGAGCGUCUCACUGUAGCUGAUGCCUUGGAACCGGUACAAUUUGAGGAUGGACAGAAAAUUGUGGUGCAGGGAGAACCAGGAGAUGAGUUCUUUAUUAUCUUAGAGGGCACAGCUGCAGUAUUACAGCGGAGGUCGGAGAAUGAAGAAUUUGUUGAAGUGGGCAGACUGGCGCCUUCUGAUUAUUUUGGUGAGUUACAUUGCUGCAGGUGUAAUUGGCUGCACUGUUGUCAUUGUGUGUCUCCAUAGCUGUGUGAUAUCUCUCUUACUGUGGGUUAAGAGGGUGGUAGUAGCAGGAUGGGUUUGGUUAUUUGCCAAUUGUUUGAGAAUAUCUGUUUUGAUUAACUACACUGUGAUAAUCCUUUGAGUACCAUGUAAAUGACUAAAAGCUCAGAAGUCCCUGUAUUGUGGAAAGGUGGUACCAUCUCCUUUAGUUCCAAGGUCUCAACCAUCUUCCGUUAUGAAGACCUCUUUAGCCUCUGUAUUUUUAGCUUAAAAAUUGAUACAUUGAUAGCAAAGGAAAAUAUUUAGUUGGGUAGAAUAUAACAUUUAUUGAUUUAUGGAAAACUAUGUAAAUUGAUCAGCUUCAAAUGAAGUCUUUCAUGUACAUACACAUUUUCUUCAGAACGGCUUU